rnacentral:rRNA from 1 species
UACGUAGGGUGCGAGCGUUGUCCGGAAUUAUUGGGCGUAAAGAGCUCGUAGGCGGCUUGUCGCGUCGGAUGUGAAAGCCCGGGGCUUAACUCCGGGUCUGCAUUCGAUACGGGCAGGCUAGGGUUCGGUAGGGGAGAUCGGAAUUCCUGGUGUAGCGGUGAAAUGCGCAGAUAUCAGGAGGAACACCGGUGGCGAAGGCGGAUCUCUGGGCCGAUACUGACGCUGAGGAGCGAAAGCGUGGGGAGCGAACAGG